rnacentral:rRNA from 1 species
GACAGAGGGGGCAAGCGUUGCUCGGAAUUACUGGGCGUAAAGGGCGCGUAGGCGGCAAUUCAAGUCAGCUGUGAAAUCUCCGGGCUUAACUCGGAACGGUCAGCUGAUACUGCUUUGCUAGAGUGCAGAAGGGGCAAUCGGAAUUCUUGGUGUAGCGGUGAAAUGCGUAGAUAUCAAGAGGAACACCUGGAGGUGAAGACGGGUUGCUGGGCUGACACUGACGCUGGAGUGCGGCGAAAGCCUAGGGGUAGCAAACGGG